rnacentral:rRNA from 1 species
CCCUUAGAUGUUCUGGGCAGCACGCGCGCUACAAUGGUCUUCGCAAACGGAUGCAUUCUCGAAGGAGAAUGCCAAUCUUGGAAUCUAUGCCUUGGUCGGGGCAGUUGCUUGCAAUUUUUCGACUCGAACCAGGAAUUCCUUGUAAUCGUGAUUCAUCACAUCACGAUGAAUACGUCCCUUCCCUUUGUACACACCGCCCGUCGCUCCUACCGAUCGAAGAGUUAGGUGAAUUGUUUUGAUCGAUAAGAUUUGACUAUGGUCAACUCUCGUUGUGAAAUUCUGUGAAUCUGACUGUUUAGAGGAAGGAAAAGUCGUAACA